rnacentral:rRNA from 1 species
AGAGUUUGAUCCUGGCUCAGGACGAACGCUGGCGGCGUGCUUAACACAUGCAAGUCGAACGGUGACGAGGAGCUUGCUCCUCUGAUCAGUGGCGAACGGGUGAGUAACACGUGAGCAACCUGCCCCAGACUCUGGGAUAACAGUUGGAAACAGCUGCUAAUACCGGAUACGAGACGGAGAGGCAUCUCUACCGUCUGGAAAGUUUUUCGGUCUGGGAUGGACUCGCGGCCUAUCAGCUAGUUGGUGAGGUAAUGGCUCACCAAGGCGACGACGGGUAGCCGGCCUGAGAGGGCGACCGGCCACACUGGGACUGAGACACGGCCCAGACUCCUACGGGAGGCAGCAGUGGGGAAUAUUGCACAAUGGGCGAAAGCCUGAUGCAGCGACGCCGCGUGAGGGAUGAAGGCCUUCGGGUUGUAAACCUCUUUCAGCAGGGAAGAAGCGAAAGUGACGGUACCUGCAGAAGAAGCACCGGCUAACUACGUGCCAGCAGCCGCGGUAAUACGUAGGGUGCGAGCGUUGUCCGGAAUUAUUGGGCGUAAAGAGCUUGUAGGCGGUUUGUCGCGUCUGCAGUGAAAAUCCGGGGCUCAACCCCGGACUUGCUGUGGGUACGGGCAGACUAGAGUAUGGUAGGGGAGACCGGAAUUCCUGGUGUAGCGGUGGAAUGCGCAGAUAUCAGGAGGAACACCGAUGGCGAAGGCAGGUCUCUGGGCCAUAACUGACGCUGAGAAGCGAAAGCAUGGGGAGCGAACAGGAUUAGAUACCCUGGUAGUCCAUGCCGUAAACGUUGGGCGCUAGGUGUGGGACUCAUUCCACGAGUUCCGUGCCGCAGCUAACGCAUUAAGCGCCCCGCCUGGGGAGUACGGCCGCAAGGCUAAAACUCAAAGGAAUUGACGGGGGCCCGCACAAGCGGCGGAGCAUGCGGAUUAAUUCGAUGCAACGCGAAGAACCUUACCAAGGCUUGACAUAUACCGGAAACAUCCAGAGAUGGGUGCCCCGCAA